rnacentral:misc_RNA from 1 species
UCCAGUUUCUCGAGCCUUUCCCCAAGAUGUCAAGCCCAGGUAAGGUUCUUCGCGUUGCGUCGAAUUAAACCACAUGCUCCACCGCUUGUGCGGGCCCCCGUCAAUUCCUUUGAGUUUUAGCCUUGCGGCCGUACUCCCCAGGCGGGGUGCUUAAUGCGUUAGCUACGGCACGGAAGGAGUCGACACCUCCCACACCUAGCACCCAUCGUUUACGGCGUGGACUAC